rnacentral:misc_RNA from 1 species
UCUCCGUAGGUGAACCUGCGGAAGGAUCAUUAUUGUAUAACCGAGGUGCGAGGGCUGUCGCUGACCCGACAGGUCGUGCACGCCCGAGUGCCCUCACACACAUCCAUCUCACCCCUAUGUGCACCACCGCGUGGGUCCCCCUUUGGCUUGUUCGGAGGGGGGCUUACGUUUUCACACAAACUUUGUAUGCAGUGUAGAAUGUAUUUUUUGUUUUUGCGAUCACGCAAUCAAUACAACUUUCAACAACGGAUCUCUUGGCUCUC